CUCUGUGGCGCCGGCGAUCACUUCUGCUCCGGUAUCGACCUCAAAACACUAAACAUAAUCACCGACUAUUCUUCAUCCGGCGACAGAGGCCGUGCUAAUGAGAAACUCCGACGAGAGAUCAAGUUCUUACAGGAUGCGAUAACUGCGAUCGAACGGUGUAGGAAACCAGUUAUAGCUAGCAUCCACGGAGCGUGUAUUGGUGGGGGUGUUGAUAUUGUGACUGCCUGUGAUAUUAGGUUUUGUUCACAAGAUUCAUUUUUUUCUGUUAAAGAGGUGGAUUUGGGGAUAACGGCAGAUCUCGGGACGCUCCAGAGACUGCCCAGUAUUGUCGGGUAUGGUAACGCUAUGGAAUUGGCUUUAACGGGUCGGAGAUUCUCGGGUCAACAGGCCAAGGAGUUGGGUCUGGUGUCUCGGGUUUUUGGGUCCAAAGAGGAUUUGGAUGAGAGUGUUAGACUUAUUGCCCAUGA
rnacentral:misc_RNA from 1 species